rnacentral:rRNA from 1 species
UACGUAGGUGGCGAGCGUUGUCCGGAAUUAUUGGGCGUAAAGAGCGUGUAGGCGGCCGCACAGGUCCGUUGUGAAAACUGGAGGCUUAACCUCCAGACGUCGACGGAAACCGUGUGGCUAGAGUCCGGAAGAGGAGAGUGGAAUUCCUGGUGUAGCGGUGAAAUGCGCAGAUAUCAGGAAGAACACCAAUGGCGAAGGCAGCUCUCUGGGACGGUACUGACGCUGAGACGCGAAAGCGUGGGGAGCGAACAGG